GUGGGGAAUAUUGCACAAUGGAGGGAACUCUGAUGCAGCAACGCCGCGUGAACGAAGAAGGCUCUUGGGUCGUAAAGUUCUGUUCUGAGGGAAGAAGAAAGUGACGGUACCUCAGGAGAAAGCCCCGGCUAACUACGUGCCAGCAGCCGCGGUAAUACGUAGGGGGCGAGCGUUGUCCGGAAUUACUGGGCGUAAAGAGUACGUAGGCGGUUAUGCAAGCGCGUGGUGAAAGGCAUAGGCUCAACCAAUGUCAGCCGCGCGAACUGUAUGACUUGAGUGCGGGAGAGGAAAGCGGAAUUCCUGGUGUAGCGGUGAAAUGCGUAGAUAUCAGGAGGAACACCGGUGGCGAAGGCGGCUUUCUGGACCGUAACUGACGCUGAGGUACGAAAGCGUGGGGAGCAAACAGGAUUAGAAACCCUAGUAGUCC
rnacentral:rRNA from 1 species